UUCCAAGCUGCCUCUCUUUAUUGGAUUCAGGACUAAUAAUUUCUUCAGAAGAUUUUCACAGUCUGUGGACAUAUAGAAGGGAAUACGGUACUUCCCUCGUAAAACUCGCUCUCGCAGUUCCUGAUACCUUUAAAUUCUGGCCAUCGAAAGGCAAGGAGCCACUGACUAAUGUAUAGAGAAUGACGCCCAGACUCCACACAUCCACUUCAGGCCCAUCAUACUUCUUUCCUUGGAAAAGCUCGGGAGCAGCAUAGGGUGGGCUUCCACAAAAUGUGUCCAAUUUGUUCCCAACUGUAAAUUCAUUACUAAAACCAAAGUCAGCAAUUUUAAUAUUCAUAUCACCAUCAAGGAGAAGGUUUUCAGCCUAAGAGGAAAAUAAUAGAAAGAACAAUGUAAAAAG
rnacentral:lncRNA from 1 species